rnacentral:lncRNA from 7 species
UGAGAAAUUAAUUGCUGCUACAAAAUACCAGAGGCUCUGAGAGCCGCAUGGAAGGAGUUCGUUUAUAACUUAACUUAUAGGUGCACGUGGAGCAAUGCCAGCAGAACAGCGUGGUGAUGCUAACAGCUGUCCUGGGGGCAGCCACCCGGUGCGUGGCUGUGCUGCUCUUUGCUCACGGGUUUACACCUGAAGGCUGCUGCUUAUUGCUUCAGCUUUCCACCUGUGAAGUCUGGGGAGAUGGUGAUCCCAAAGAACGUGGAGCAGCAGGAGUUUCCCUUGACGAAGCUCCUAGGAUUCCUGCUGUGUGGAUUCAGAGGGAGAUCAGCUGGGAAGCGGGGAGAGGUGACAUCGUGGCUCUGAACCCUCUUCAGCAUUCUGCUCUAAUGUUCUGACAAGAUGAAUGGCCACUUGCCAAGGGGGUGUCCCACAUGGGCAAGACGCUGGAGAAGCCCUUGUCCCACAUGUCCUGCUUCCUUGGUGUGGUGUUUUGGGACCUUGGGGGAUACUGGGGCUCUGUCCCUGCCCUGUUGUGCUGAGGAGCCAGUUGUGCACAGCAGGAGCUAGACCUGCUGCCAUCUGGUUGGAUGCACCUGCGCUAAUAGCGCAGGUGGAAGGAGCCUGGGUCCCCUAGAGGAUCACGUCCCACGGCUGCACCACGGCUGCCCUCCUCUCCCAGCUCUGGUGUGGGCAUUCCAACUUCCCCACCCUGGGAUGUGAACCAUCUCCCCCUCUGUGGCAGAUUCUGACAGCACCCAGCGUGUCCCUAAGCCCAGGGGACACUUUGCUGCCCGCACUCUGCACCGGCCCCAGCGAUGGCACAGCAAUGAAUCACCGUCUGGUGCUGACAGCAUCCCUCUCCAUACCACACCUGCCACGCUUUGGUUCGCCCUUCCCCUGAACAAGUUUUUCCCCUUCCCUUUGAGAGUGGUUCUUUUCAGCUGCCCAUGAAAGGGCCCUGUUCCCGGUGAUGGAUUGCACCUGAUUUCAAUAUCAAUGAGGGCGUGCUCUGCUCCUGCAGCCCCUAGCAGCUUGUUUAGCCCGGGUUUGUUAACAGGGUUGCCCUCUUCUUUUCCCUCACCGUUUCCUCCCUCUCUGCACCGAGGGCAAAAGCUGUGGCUGAUCUCAUCCUCGGGAAGGAGUUCUCCUGUUGUGGGCUGGACUGUGCAGGUGAUGGGUUUGGGACGCUCAGGGGCACUGAGGUUGGGUUUAUUGAGGACUGUGGGAUGGGGAAGGGUGGUGGGUGCGGGGUCUCCAUGAGCAGCCCCAGGAGGUGGUGUUGCCAUGGUUCCUCCUCGCUC